rnacentral:rRNA from 1 species
UACGGAGGGGGCGAGCGUUAUUCGGAAUUAUUGGGCGUAAAGGGCGCGUAGGCGGCUUGACAAGUCAAAGGUGAAAUCCCUCGGCUCAACUGAGGAACUGCCUUUGAAACUGUCUGGCUUGAGGCUGGGAGGGGGUAGCGGAAUUCCCAGUGUAGCGGUGAAAUGCGUAGAUAUUGGGAGGAACACCAGUGGCGAAGGCGGCUACCUGGACCGGUUCUGACGCUGAUGCGCGAAAGCGUGGGUAGCAAACAGG